UCCUUGACAUAAAGACCGUUGUUCUGUGGCAAAGCGCUUGCUUUUCAAGCAAAGGUCCCAGAUUCAAUCCCUGGGUAGGGAA